rnacentral:rRNA from 1 species
GACAGAGGGUGCAAACGUUGUUCGGAAUUACUGGGCGUGAAGCGCGUGUAGGCGGCCAUGCAAGUCGGAUGUGAAAGCCCUCGGCUCAACCGGGGAAGUGCACUCGAAACUGCAAGGCUAGAGUCUCGGAGAGGAUCGUGGAAUUCUCGGUGUAGAGGUGAAAUUCGUAGAUAUCGAGAGGAACACCGGUGGCGAAGGCGGCGAUCUGGACGAUGACUGACGCUGAGACGCGAAAGCGUGGGGAGCAAACAGG